UACGUAGGGUGCGAGCGUUAAUCGGAAUUACUGGGCGUAAAGCGUGCGCAGGCGGUUUUGUAAGCCGGAUGUGAAAUCCCCGGGCUUAACCUGGGAAUGGCAUUUGGGACUGCAAGGCUUGAGUGCGGCAGAGGAGACUGGAAUUCCUGGUGUAGCAGUGAAAUGCGUAGAUAUCAGGAGGAACACCGGUGGCGAAGGCGGGUCUCUGGGCCGUAACUGACGCUGAGGAGCGAAAGCGUGGGGAGCGAACAGG
rnacentral:rRNA from 1 species